rnacentral:siRNA from 1 species
CGACCCCAAAUUUUGACCUUUAAGU